AUAAGAGAAUCGCAUGAUUUUCUUAUCAAAGAUUUAUUGCUUUGAGAUGGACCCGCGGCGCAUUAGCUAGUUGGUAAGGUAACGGCUUACCAAGGCAACGAUGCGUAGCCGACCUGAGAGGGUGAUCGGCCACAUUGGAACUGAGACACGGUCCAGACUCCUACGGGAGGCAGCAGUGGGGAAUAUUGCGCAAUGGGGGAAACCCUGACGCAGCAACGCCGCGUGGGUGAUGAAGGUCUUCGGAUUGUAAAGCCCUGUUUUCUAGGACGAUAAUGACGGUACUAGAGGAGGAAGCCACGGCUAACUACGUGCCAGCAGCCGCGGUAAUACGUAGGUGGCGAGCGUUGUCCGGAUUUACUGGGCGUAAAGGGUGCGUAGGCGGAUGUUUAAGUGGGAUGUGAAAUCCCCGGGCUUAACCUGGGGGCUGCAUUCCAAACUGGAUAUCUAGAGUGCAGGAGAGGAAAGCGGAAUUCCUAGUGUAGCGGUGAAAUGCGUAGAGAUUAGGAAGAACACCAGUGGCGAAGGCGGCUUUCUGGACUGUAACUGACGCUGAGGCACGAAAGCGUGGGUAGCAAACAGGAUUAGAUACCCUGGUAGUCCACGCCGUAAACGAUGGAUACUAGGUGUAGGGGGUAUCAACUCCCCCUGUGCCGCAGUUAACACAAUAAGUAUCCCGCCUGGGGAGUACGGUCGCAAGAUUAAAACUCAAAGGAAUUGACGGGGGCCCGCACAAGCAGCGGAGCAUGUGGUUUAAUUCGAAGCAACGCGAAGAACCUUACCUGGACUUGACAUCCCUUGCAUAGCCUAGAGAUAGGUGAAGCCCUUCGGGGCAAGGAGACAGGUGGUGCAUGGUUGUCGUCAGCUCGUGUCGUGAGAUGUUAGGUUAAGUCCUGCAACGAGCGCAACCCUUGUUAUUAGUUGCUACCAUUAAGUUGAGCACUCUAAUGAGACUGCCUGGGUAACCAGGAGGAAGGUGGGGAUGACGUCAAAUCAUCAUGCCCCUUAUGUCCAGGGCUACACACGUGCUACAAUGGUAGGUACAAUAAGACGCAAGACCGUGAGGUGGAGCAAAACUUAUAAAACCUAUCUCAGUUCGGAUUGUAGGCUGCAACUCGCCUACAUGAAGCUGGAGUUGCUAGUAAUCGCGAAUCAGAAUGUCGCGGUGAAUACGUUCCCGGGCCUUGUACACACCGCCCGUCACACCAUGAGAGCUGGUAACACCCGAAGUCCGUGAGGUAACCGUAAGGAGCCAGCGGCCGAAGGUGGGAUUAGUGAUUGGGGUGAAGUCGUAACAAGGUAGCCGUAGGAGAACCUGCGGCUGGAUCACCUCCUUUCUA
rnacentral:rRNA from 1 species